AUGUGCGGAUUCACUAACUAUAUUCUUUCUCAAUGGUUUCUUCAAUCAGGCUGCUCUCUAAGUUUCCUUUGUGCCUGGGUCAUGUUCACGGCACUCCGAUUCCAAGAGGCUGGAAGUCUGCUGUUUCAAGGUCAUGCUGUACAUGCCCAUCUAAGUGCGUCUAGAAGUAUGCUGCUGUCAAAGAAGGCAGCAGGAGGUCGCCGCCAUGAGGGUCCGUCAUUUGUUUUAGUUGCUCUCAGGGAUUAUCAGGCCUAUGGAACUCUGAGCAACGCCGGCCUGAGCUGCCAUCAAAUCUGCGAGUUGGGCGAUCUGCCGUUCGCCGGAGUGAUGGAUGCCGCGGUGCACGUUCUCGUGUUCCCAUGGCCAAGGCAGGGACACAUCAACCCCAUGCUCCAUUUCGCCACCGCCCUUGUCGACGCCGGCGUCCAAGUCACCUUCCUCCACACCGAGCACAACCUCCGCCGCCUUGCCCAGGUGCCUCUGCCACCUCGCCUACGCUUGCUUUCUAUCCCUGACGGCCUCCCGGACGACCACCCUCGCAGCUUCUUGGAGCUCUUGGAGUCCAUGUGCACGACCAGCAGCGCCACGUACCGUGCCCUGCUCUUGUCCGCCGACGCCCCGGUGACAUGCGUUGUCGCCGAUGGCACCAUGCCGUUUGCCAUCGACAUCGCCGAGGAGCUCGGCAUCCCGGCGCUCGCUUUCGCCACGCAGAGUGCGUGCAGCUACCUGGCACUCCUGUCUAUGCCCAGGCUCGUCGAGCUCGGCGAGAGCCCCUUCCCCACGGACGACCUGGUGUGCGGUGUUCCGGGGAUGGAGGGCUUCCUCCGGCGCCGAGAUCUUCCUCGUGGACUCUACUGCGCUGAACAAGGCGACAGAGACCCCUGGAUGCUCAAGCUUGCCGAGGUCACCGCUCGUUCCAGCAAGGCAUGUGCACUCAUACUCAACACCACCGCGUCCAUGGAGCAGCCAGCGCUGGCUCACAUUGCGUCGCACACAAGCGACGUCUUCGCUGUAGGCCCACUGCACGCCAGGUCAAGGCUCACCGCAAGCGCAAGCCUGUGGCAGGAGGACGACGGGUGCAUGGCGUGGCUGGACGGCCACGAGGACCGGUCCGUCGUGUACGUGAGCCUGGGGAGCCGCGCGGUGAUCACGCAAGAGCAGUUCACCGAGUUCCUCUCCGGCCUGGUAGCUACUGGAUACGCCUUCCUCUGGGCGCUCCGACCGGACAUGGUCCAGACGACCAGCUCUGCGCUCCUCCGAGAAGCCGUCGGGGCAGUGGAGGGCAGCAAGGCGCACAUUCUUGAGUGGGCUCCUCAGCGGGACGUGCUGCGGCACCGGGCGGUGGGCUGCUUCCUGACACACGCCGGCUGGAACUCGACACUGGAGUGCGCCUUGGAGGGCGUGCCGAUGGUGUGCUGGCCCUUCUUCUCUGACCAGCAGAUCAACAGCCGCUUUGUGGGCGCCGUGUGGAGGACGGGGCUGGACAUGAAGGGCGUCUGCGAGAGAGGCGUCGUUGAGAGGACGGUGAGGGAGGCCAUGGUGUCCGACAAGAUCAGGGGGGUGGCCCAAGCUAUGGCGCAGCAGUUGAGGCUGGAUGUCGCGCAGGCGGGGCCGUCGUCAUCCGAGUUGGAGCGGCUCGUCCGCUUCAUCAGGGAGCUCAGCAUCAGGUCCUGUUGA
rnacentral:rRNA from 1 species